CAUUCUGUUGAUCUCCUUUCCACCGCUUCUUUCCACUAAUUGCUCCACCGUCUCUUUCUUCUUCUUCUUCUCUCUCUGAUUAUGUUUUAAAGCUUUAGUCCUUGACCGUCAAUGUUUUUAGUCGGUUGAUCCUUUGCCACCUCUCCCACACAAUCAGAUGUUGCACCGCCAUGGACAUCGGUUGUUAUCUUCUCCAUUGUUUUGUUCUCGAAUAACAUGCCUACACAAGUACCUUCCCCAUUAAUUCUUUUUACAUCACCACUUUAAUUCUUACGACCUUCCCCAUUCUUCCUUCCAACGCUCCAUCUCUUUCUUCCUUCCAUAGAAAAUCUCUGCCUCAAUCCAUUUCUAUCCAAUCUCUCGAAGGAGAUCUGUAAUCCUUUUCCAGAUUCUUCUCCGUUCUUCCCACUACUUAUCUUAGUUUUCUACAACAGCAGCUUCAUCUUCUACAGACUCCACCUCUUCGUCCUUUUCAGUAACUGUAUUACCGACGAUGUUCACGGGUUUGAAGAGAUCAAAAGUUGGGGGUACAGUAGGGCAAUGGACGUAUGGAAGCGAUAGGCGAAGUGGGGGUUAUCCACUACCAACCGACCGCCCGACGGUGAGCCCUUUUUCUCCUUCUCUAAUUUCCUUCGAGUGUCCCUUCUCUGUGUUGGAGCUGAUUUGUGUCCGUUGGCUGAGUUGGAGCUGAUUUUCUUACAUUAUGCUUACACAAGAACCAAGAGACACUCCCACGUUUGAUACUUUCUGAUCACAGUUCAACUUCAAAGUUCAUUAAUUUCUGUUUAAAAGUUCACUAACACUACAAAAAUUCAACUUCUUCAAGUUCAUUAAUGGCUGAUCUGUUACAUUUGGGAACUGGGCUAGGACCCCCUGUUUCUAAACUAUCAGAUAUCAUCAUACGCGUAUUAAAGAAAUCCUUUUAGGUUCACUCUGAGUUCAUUGAAAUACAAUAAACUAUCACGACAAUAACGCCUAUGAUUGAAAACCUCAAGAAUCAAACUAAGGUAUCAGAUCAGCUGAAACAUGAAAACGGUAUGUUCAUUACUUAGAUAGUGGGCGCAGAAGCCCUUUUUCUGAAAUGCAAUCAUGUCAAAUGGUUCGAAAUAUACACUCACGCGGUCAAAUUGGAUAAGCUAAAUGUAUCGAUGCUAAAAUUUUUCCAGAUUGUUGUUCCGUUGGUGAUUCUUAAUCGAAUAGGAGAUCUGCAAGAAAGUAUAAUGAAAGUGGAUUUAAGUCGUUCGUCUUGUGGGGUUCCAUUGCUGAAUGAUUCCGUGAUAGGAUUAAAAGAUCAAGUUAGAAAGUUGAAUGUCCAGCUGUUAGAUGACAGAGGAGUUGCCAUCUUCAUCUCAGCUGUUAGAUGACAGCCUGGAUCGCCAUCUGUCAUCAUCUAUUGAGGAAGGGAAGCCCAAUCAGGUUUUCUAUGUUUUUUUUGUUUUAUAUGUUAUGGUCAUAUCAAGCUUAUAUUUUUAUUGCAUAAGCUAUUGAAAGAAGUUGAAGUGCUGAAGGGAUCUCAUUUGAAGCAGAUCACAGAGACCAAUCUGCUAGAACAAGAACUGUUAUUUUUUUAGGCUGUAUUGUAUUACUAUUGGUUGAGAAGUGGAACUUGAAGCAAGACUCUCACAGAGUAUGCUUCUAAUCUUGGCAUCAACUGGCUUUCUUACUUCAAGAAUUGCAGGACGCCCCAGAUAAGCUACCGUACAAAGAGCCGACGAUCACCAACCAGGUUAUUACCGACAUCGAUAAAGACACCGUUCUCAUGCUUGACAUGUUCGAGAUGAUGCAGGAAAACAUCACAGCAGCCGUGAAAAUAUGUAACAAGAUCAUCCAGGACCACCCAACAGCAUGACGAACGCAGGAUCAACCCGUUUUUGCAUGUGCUUCUGUAAUGAAAGUUUAUUAGUUACUUCUCGCAACAUCCACCACUUUUGUAACCAUCUAUGUAAUGAAUGACUAUGUAACCACCAUAUAAUGAUUGACUAUGUUUUUAUCCA